rnacentral:rRNA from 1 species
AUGAAGCUGACCACUUUUGAUCUGCUUCUCGCCCACGGGUUUCUUACACCAAGGGACAUGUCUGAUACAGGAAAGGUGAAGAGCUGCAGAAUGGAUGCCAUCAUCCUUGGCACUGUGACACAGAUUGCAAGAGAAGAUCACUUUGUAAAGAACAACCAUCAUCCUGACUUGGCUCAUCGCCUUUCGGUUCACUAUGAAGGCCAACCGCAGCAAGCUGAGAAGGCGUGUUGGAAUAAUUGUGGCCGCCAAGCAACAGUUGAACAGUCCAAUGCCACUCAAGAGUUCUUGGAAUCACUUCCAUCGUCAACUCACUCAGGGAUUCUGAAAGUCUUUGAUCUAGAAGACUGCAAUGAAUUGGAGGACCACCAUGUUAAAAUCAUUUGCAACCAUGCAUUCCACCUUAAGUACUUGAGCGUCCGGAAAACUGGCAUUACUGAACUACCCAAGCAGCUCGGCAAGCUUCAGUCCCUAGAGACCCUGGACAUUCGUGAAACAAAAAUAAAAUCAUUUGCCAAAAAUUCCAUUUUUCUGCCAAAGCUAAAGCAUCUACUUGCUGGCCAAUGGACUGAUGAAGAGCUUGUUGUAAAUGGUGACGUCCAAUCAAAGCAGACGUUUUCCACCGUGGCGAUGCCCAAACAUAUCGGGGACAUGACAGAAUUGCAGGUGAUAUCUCAUAUUGCAGUUUCUGGCGAUGGCAGUGAACUACAAUAUGUUGGCUACCUACUUCAGUUGGUUAAGUUGGGUGUGGUUGUCUCCGGAAGUAAAGCAUCAUCAGUCUUGAGGCAUUUGUACCAUGCAACUGGAAAUCUUGGAUUUCUUCGCUCACUGUCAAUCCAAGUCACAAAAACCGACGAAGACUAUGAGAACAUGAACAGGCAAGAUGCAAGCCCAAUAUAUCCAAAGUAUCUUCAUAAGCUAAAAAUCAGUGGCCUGAAAAAUGGAUUGCCUUCAUGGAUUGCAAAGCUCAAGGUACUUACCAAAAUGACCCUGCGUAUGACUUUCAUAACAGACGAUGACUUCAUAAUCCUUGGCCAGCUUACAAGCUUGUCCGGGCUUAGGCUCCAACAGGAGUCCUGCAAUGAAGUACACUCGCCUUCAAAAAAGAUGCAUUUCAGAGUCUUAAGUUCCUUGACAUUGCGUGCUCAGCCAUUACCACUAUCAACUUUGACAAUGAGGCAUGUCCUAAUCUGA